CAGCAGCCACGGUAAUACGAACCGUGCGAACGUUAUUCGGAAUUACUGGGCUUAAAGCGCGUGUAGGCGGGCCGCCACGUCGGUUGCUGAAAUCCCCCGGCUCAACCGGGGAAGUGGCAUCGAUACGAGCGGCCUUGAGGGGGGUAGGGGGAUCUGGAACUUCCGGUGGAGCGGUGAAAUGCGUUGAGAUCGGAAGGAACGCCCGUGGCGAAAGCGAGGUCCUGGACCCUUUCUGACACUGAGAGACGAAAGCUAGGGGAGCAAAUGGGAUUAGAUACCCGCGUAGUCCCUGUCUCUUAUA
rnacentral:rRNA from 1 species